AGAGUUUGAUCAUGGCUCAGAAUCAACGCUGGCGGCGUGCCUCAGACAUGCAAGUCGAACGCGAAAGUUCCCUUCGGGGGGCGAGUAGAGUGGCGCACGGGUGAGUAACACGUAGGUAAUCUACCUUCGGAUGGGGAAUAACAACCGGAAACGGUUGCUAAUACCGCAUAAUGCAGCGGCACCUAAUGGUGACAGUUGUUAAAGCGGGGGAUCGUAAGACCUCGCGUCUGGAGAGGAGCCUGCGGCGGAUUAGCUAGUUGGUAAGGUAACGGCUUACCAAGGCUAUGAUCCGUAGCCGGCCUGAGAGGGCGGUCGGCCACACUGACACUGACAUACGGGUCAGACUCCUACGGGAGGCAGCAGUGGGGAAUUGUUCGCAAUGGGCGCAAGCCUGACGACGCAACGCCGCGUGGAGGAUGAAGGUCUUCGGAUUGUAAACUCCUGUUGCCCGGGACGAAUGGCUCCAACCUAACACGUUGGAGUGUGACGGUACCGGGUGAGGAAGCCCCGGCUAACUCUGUGCCAGCCGCCGCGGUAAUAC
rnacentral:rRNA from 1 species